rnacentral:rRNA from 1 species
AGACGGGUAGCUGGUCUGAGAGGACGACCAGCCACACUGGAACUGAGACACGGUCCAGACACCUACGGGUGGCAGCAGUCGAGGAUUUUUCUCAAUGGGGGCAACCCUGAAGGAGCGACGCCGCGUGGAGGAUGAAGGGCUUCGGCUUGUAAACUCCUGUCACCGACGAACAAGGCAUCCGGUUGAACAUUCCGGGUGAUUGAUGGUAGUCGGAGAGGAAGGGGCGGCUAACUCUGUGCCAGCAGCCGCGGUGAUACAGAGGCCCCGAGCGUUGUUCGGAUUUACUGGGCGUAAAGGGUGUGUAGGGGGUCGGGUAAGUUUGACGUGAAAGCCCGCUGCUUAACAGCGGAACGGCGUCGAAUACUGCCCGGCUGGAGGUUCGGAGAUGAGAGCGGAAUUCUCGGUGUAGCGGUGAAAUGCGUAGAUAUCGAGAGGAACGCCGACGGCGAAAGCAGCUCUCAAGACGACACCUGACCCUGAGACACGAAGGCCAGGGGAGCAAACGGGAUUAGAUACCCCGGUAGUCCUGGCAGUAAACGGUGCUCAUUAGACGUGGGCGGAUUCGACCCCGCCCGUGUCGAACCUAACGGAUUAAAUGAGCCGCCUGGGAAGUACGGUCGCAAGAUUAAAACUCAAAGAAAUUGACGGGGGCCCGCACAAGCGGUGGAGUAUGUGGCUUAAUUCGAUGCAACGCGAAGAACCUUACCUGGCCUUGACAUGCUGAGUUCAGGCGUGGAAACACGCUGGCCCGCAAGGGCGAUCUGCACAGGUGCUGCAUGGCUGUCGUCAGCUCGUGUCGUGAGAUGUUGGGUUAAGUCCCGCAACGAGCGCAACCCUCGUGACUAGUUAAUCCCGGGCAACCGGAUUCUGGUCAGACUGCCCUGUGAAACGGGGAGGAAGGUGGGGACGACGUCAAGUCCGUAUGGCCCUUACGGCCAGGGCUGCACACGUACUACAAUGCUCACUACAGAGGGACGCAAGACCGCAAGGUGGAGCCAAUCCCUAAAAGGUGAGCCCAGUUCGGAUUGGAGGCUGCAACUCGCCUCCAUGAAGCCGGAAUCGCUAGUAAUGGCGCAUCAGCUACGGCGCCGUGAAUACGUUCCCGGGCCUUGUACACACCGCCCGUCACAUCAUGAAAGCCGGUCUUACCCAAAGUCGUCUUUGACGCCCAAGGUAAGGCUGGUGAUUGGGAUGAAGUCGUAACAAGGUAGCCGUA